CAGAUAUGAAAGUUGUAUGCACGUCUGAUCCGCAAUCUGCAAAAAUGAUCUGCAGAUACAAAGCGGAUGUCCACAGAUUUGCAGCGCUUUAGAUAUAAAAU